GAUGAAGAACGCAGCGAAAUGCGAUAAGUAAUGUGAAUUGCAGAAUUCCGUGAAUCAUCGAAUCUUUGAACGCACAUUGCGCCCCUUGGUAUUCCAUGGGGCAUGCCUGUUCGAGCGUCAUUUGUACCUUCAAGCUUUGCUUGGUGUUGGGUGUUUGUCUCGCCUUUGCGUGUAGACUCGCCUUAAAAUAAUUGGCAGCCGGCGUAUUGAUUUCGGAGCGCAGUACAUCUCGCGCUUUGCACUCAUAACGACAGCGUCCAAAAGUACAUUUUACACUCUUGACCUCGGAUCAGGUAGGGAUACCCGCUGAACUUAAGCAUAUCAAUAAGCGGAGGA
rnacentral:misc_RNA from 1 species